UACGAAGGGGGCUAGCGUUGUUCGGAUUUACUGGGCGUAAAGCGCGCGUAGGCGGAUCGUUAAGUCAGGGGUGAAAUCCCGGGGCUCAACCCCGGAACUGCCUUUGAUACUGGCGAUCUCGAGUCCGGAAGAGGUGAGUGGAAUUCCGAGUGUAGAGGUGAAAUUCGCAGAUAUUCGGAGGAACACCAGUGGCGAAGGCGGCUCACUGGUCUGGUACUGACGCUGUGGCGCGAAAGCGUGGGGAGCAAACAGG
rnacentral:rRNA from 1 species